UCCUUGUUUAGUCUUCUUGUAAAGUCUCGCUGAUUGGCCCUGCUUGUGUGCAAAUACCGUAGCCUCUUCUGUCCAUUCCGUCAGUCUUAUGUGGCCUGGCUUCUUGAAUCGGCGGAAUCUGGCCUCGGCACUUCCCUCUUCUGCUAUCCCUUCCCGUUCAACUGCGGAAAACCUUCUCAAUUCAAUUGCCGAUUUUUGAGCUUAUUUCGCUAGUUCAAACACUCUUAUGAGUCUUUUUACUAGUU